rnacentral:rRNA from 1 species
AGGACGAACGCUGGCGGCGUGCUUAACACAUGCAAGUCGAGCGAGGCCCCACCUUCGGGUGGGUGUCCUAGCGGCGAACGGGUGAGUAACACGUGGGCAACCUGCCCCUAGCACUGGGAUAACGUCCGGGAAACCGGGCUAAUACCGGAUACGACUUCGGAAGGCAUCUUCUGAAGUGGAAAGGUUACUGGCUAGGGAUGGGCCCGCGGCCUAUCAGCUUGUUGGUGGGUAACGCCUACAAGGCUCCGGACGGUAG